rnacentral:rRNA from 1 species
UACAGAGGGUGCAAGCGUUGUUCGGAAUUAUUGGGCGUAAAGGGCGCGUAGGCGGGCAGGCAAGUCGAAGGUGAAAUCCCACGGCUCAACCGUGGAAGUGCCCCCGAUACUGCCUGUCUCGAGGGAGAUAGGGGCGUGCGGAACUUCCGGUGGAGCGGUGAAAUGCGUAGAUAUCGGAAGGAACACCGGUGGCGAAAGCGGCGCGCUGGAUCUCUUCUGACGCUGAUGCGCGAAAGCCAGGGGAGCAAACGGG